rnacentral:sRNA from 1 species
UUUUGUUUUAUUAUUUUUUUUUGUUUUUUUUCGUUUUUUUUU